rnacentral:lncRNA from 1 species
AGCUGCCCCGACGUGGCCACCUGAGAACCCGAGGAGGACGAAGGGGGCCGUUCGCGGCUAGGAGCCAGCACUGGCCCAUGGGACUGAGUGUGGCCAGGGUGGUGCAAGCCAUUGAGCCACAGACACACCCUACUUACCACCCAUGAAUGUCCGGUGAUGUUGUUCAUAGAUCAACUUUGUUGAGCUUUUGGUCAACAUGCUGCCAAUUAUUCUUUCCAAUAGCAUCCUCUAGGACAUGGACCACCAAGAUAACUCUGCUCCUGGGAAUUACGUUUCCGUGCUGUAGAGCCGAGAGCAGCAAGCCUUUCUGGGAAUCAACAUCGCCCAUGAAUUGCAGCUGUCUGCGUAGCUCCGGGACAAAAAUCGUCACACGCACAAAAAAGUACCCCCCUUAUCAAACACACCAUCCCUUCCUGGAGAGUCUUCUUCGCUUUUCCUCAGAGUCCCUUGUAAUGAAGACCCGGCCGGCGAGGCUCUGCGAUUACACGAUUACACGUGCAGAUGCAUGCUCGGGCUGGUUGAACACGGGAAGGAGAAAACUAAAACUAAAGCGUAGGGCCAAGUCUCUCGAGCUUCUCAGCCUGAAAAAAAGAAAAAUCUAUCAAGGCUUUUCAGAUGUCCUGCUGGGUCUAGGAAAUUUAAAACAACAGACGAACAAGCAAACAACAAACAAAUGAAUCAUUAAAGUUUUUUUUUCUGUU